AUGAGCCCCUGUCUCCUGGGCUGUGUGGUCUUCUGUCUCCUGCAGGCAGGGGCGGUCCAUGCUGGGGUCACUCAGGACCCCAGAUUCCAGGUCGUGAGGAGAGGACAGAGCGUGACACUGACAUGUACUCAGGAUCUGGGUCAUGACCGCAUGUACUGGUACCGACAAGACCUGGGACACGGGCUGAGGCUGAUCCAUUACUCAGCUGGUGUGUUCACUAGUGAGCCAGGAGAUGUGCCCGAUGGCUACAGCGUCUCCAGAUCAAGCAUAGAGAACUUCCCUCUAAUGCUGGAGUCUGCCAACCGCUCCCAGACAUCUGUGUACUUCUGCACUAGCAGUUACUCCAUGGCACUGCAGGGUCACCUCCUCUCUGUGCAAAAGACAGGGGUCCACGUGCAGGCUCCUAGCACCGGGAGCCUCAGGGCUUUGUUAGCCAGGUGCCUGCAGUGUGACCCUGGGUAUGCGGUGGAGACUGGCCCGAACCUCACUGCCGGGCCUUGGGGACCUUGUGGGACCAUCGAUCUCUGUCUUUCCUCUGCAGCCUCCAUGUGAACCAGGAAGAUGCUUCCCCAGCUCUGACUCCUAGUCAUCACAUGAGCCUGAGACCUAGGAGGGAAGGUUGUUGGAUAAAUUAGAUACGUCUAGACACUCUUGUCUCACCUCAGGCAGCUCAUUUCUGGCUUUCUGGAGGUUCUCCCACAGUCUGGUUCUCACCUGGUCUAGGCUGGCUCUUGUCCACCUUUCCCAGGCGGGCAGGACAUUCCUCUCCCCACCUCCCUGCAUCAGCUCCCUGGCCCUCUCUACCACAGCCACACUGCUCCUCCUUCGUCUGGGUCAGGUCCCUUCCCAAGUCACAGGGAGGCUUUUUAAGU